rnacentral:rRNA from 1 species
GAGCUGUGGAUAGGGGUGAAAGGCUAAACAAACUUGGAAAUAGCUGGUUCUCUCCGAAAACUAUUUAGGUAGUGCCUCAAGUAUCACCGACGGGGGUAAAGCACUGUUAUGGCUAGGGGGUCAUCGCGACUUACCAAACCAUUGCAAACUCAGAAUACCGUUGAGUGCGAGCUUGGGAGACAGACAUCGGGUGCUAACGUCCGGUGUCAAGAGGGAAACAACCCAGACCGCCGAUUAAGGUCCCGAAGACAUAGUUAAGUGGGAAACGAGGUGGGAAGGCUUAGACAGCCAGGAGGUUGGCUUAGAAGCAGCCAUCCUUUAAAGAAAGCGUAAUAGCUCACUGGUCGAGUCGUCCUGCGCGGAAGAUGUAACGGGGCUCAAACUAUGCACCGAAAUCGCGGAUAUCCGCAAGGAUAUGGUAGGAGAGCGUUCUGUAAGCCGAUGAAGGUGUCUUGAGAAGGAUGCUGGAGGUAUCAGAAGUGCGAAUGCUGACAUGAGUAGCGAUAAAGGGAG